GCAGGGGAGCCAAUCCCAAAAAGCCGUCCCAAGUUCGGAUUGGAGUCUGCAACUCCGACUCCAUGAAGCUGGAAUCGCUAGUAAUCGCGGAUCAGCAUGCCGCGGUGAAUACGUUCCCGGGCCUU
rnacentral:rRNA from 1 species